rnacentral:rRNA from 1 species
CUGAACCAGCCAAGUAGCGUGAAGGAUGACUGCCCUAUGGGUUGUAAACUUCUUUUAUAAAGGAAUAAAGUCGGGUAUGUAUACCCGUUUGCAUGUACUUUAUGAAUAAGGAUCGGCUAACUCCGUGCCAGCAGCCGCGGUAAUACGGAGGAUCCGAGCGUUAUCCGGACUUAUUGGGUUUAAAGGGAGCGUAGAUGGAUGUUUAAGUCAGUUGUGAAAGUUUGCGG